rnacentral:misc_RNA from 1 species
GUUGACUAUGACUUGACAUUUCUCUGCAACUUUGUAUUGUAGUCCUAUUUCAAGAUUGUCUUUUAUGAUGUCCCUUUUGGUUAGGAAUGGUCUCUUAUGAAGGUGUGUUGUCUUUUAUGGAUAGUCGUUUUUGUUGUUCUCUUGUAGAGUAUUACUCUUUGUUGUGGAUUCCCAAAAAUUGAGAUGGGAUUUUGUUGUUAAAAAACUAAGGGAAUUUGACUUGGAAAUUGAGGUGGGAUUUGAUGUUUUACAUAUUUAAUGAUUUAAGAAAUUAAUUGAAAAUUGUAGGAUUUGAAUGUUGAGUCAAUUUUGGAUUUGAUUUGACAACUUUCUUACGAGCAAUUUAUGAGUUGAUUAUUAUUUUGAGAUCAGCCUUUAGUGAGUUGUAGCUGUUGAAAAUUGAUAUUAGUUCUAAAACCAUAAAAUACGUUGUUGUGAGAAUGUUUGAUAAUGUUCAAUGCAAUUGUGGAUUCCUUUCAAAUAAAUAUUUUAAUGAAAUUUUGUUUUUGCUUGGUUUAUAGUUGUUCUUUGUUGUUUGAGAUGGUUGCUGAAUGUUGCUAUUAGUUUUGCUUGGUUCAUACUGUUUGUGAUCUUAAUGU